AUGCCAGGCUCAAAAGGCCUGAACCCACAUAAGCUUGCUAGUAAGUGGACAAAAGGCCUUAGGAGUUGUCUCGAUAUGAGUAUAAAAGUGGGAUGUAUAUCCUACAAUAUGCGUAUAUUUGGGUAAAUUGUGGGAGCGCGCAGUACGGAACAAUAUGUAGGCAUC
rnacentral:sRNA from 1 species